rnacentral:rRNA from 1 species
AACGAACGCUGGCGGCAGGCCUAACACAUGCAAGUCGAACGAGUAAGAGCCGUAGCAAUACGGAGUUCUGCUAGUGGCGCACGGGUGAGUAACGCGUGGGAACGUGCCUUGGAGUUCGGGAUAACAGUUGGAAACGACUGCUAAUACCGAAUAUUCCCUCAGGGGGAAAGAUUUAUCGCUCCAAGAUUGGCCCGCGUAAGAUUAGGUAGUUGGUGGGGUAAUGGCCUACCAAGCCUACGAUCUUUAGCUGGUCUGAGAGGACGACCAGCCACACUGGAACUGAGACACGGUCCAGACUCCUACGGGAGGCAGCAGUGGGGAAUAUUGGACAAUGGGCGAAAGCCUGAUCCAGCCAUGCCGCGUGAAUGAUGAAGGCCUUAGGGUUGUAAAAUUCUUUUGCAGGGGAAGAUAAUGACGGUACCCUGCGAAUAAGCUCCGGCUAACUUCGUGCCAGCAGCCGCGGUAAU